rnacentral:rRNA from 2 species
GAGUGAUCGAAAGAUGAAAAGCACUUUGAAAAGAGAGUUAAAAAGUACGUGAAAUUGUUGAAAGGGAAGCGUUUAUGACCAGACUUGGGCUUGGUUAAUCAUCUGGGGUUCUCCCCAGUGCACUUUUCCAGUCCAGGCCAGCAUCAGUUUUCGCCGGGGGAUAAAGGCUUCGGGAAUGUGGCUCUCUCCGGGGAGUGUUAUAGCCCGUUGCGUAAUACCCUGGCGGGGACUGAGGUUCGCGCAUCUGCAAGGAUGCUGGCGUAAUGGUCAUCAACGACCC